GUAGGCCUCCAGAGGGCCUUGUUGUACCCCAGGAUGUGGAGAGGGGGCUGGGGCCAUGGAGUAAGGACCAGGGGCCGCCCAGCUCAGACCCCCCUCUCCCCCCUCAGCUGUGGGGACCCAAACGGCAGCUAGGCCAGUCCAGCCCUGGACCCAGGGUUCCCAUGGAUACUGCUACCAGGUACAGGAUGACCAGCAGACAGCAGACAGGAACAGCUAUCCUGGUGCGUGGUUGUCGCAGGCAGAGUCCGCUCCCUCUACAGGGUACAGCUGUAGGGAGACUGGGGCUGUCAGAGGAGGAGGCCAAGGAGCAGAUGG